rnacentral:rRNA from 1 species
AACGAACGCUGGCGGCAUGCCUAACACAUGCAAGUCGAACGAACCCUUCGGGGUUAGUGGCGCACGGGUGCGUAACGCGUGGGAAUCUGCCCUUGGCUUCGGAAUAACAGUUAGAAAUGACUGCUAAUACCGGAUGAUGUCUUCGGACCAAAGAUUUAUCGGCCAGGGAUGAGCCCGCGUAGGAUUAGGUAGUUGGUGGGGUAAAGGCCUACCAAGCCGACGAUCCUUAGCUGGUCUGAGAGGAUGAUCAGCCACACUGGGACUGAGACACGGCCCAGACUCCUACGGGAGGCAGCAGUGGGGAAUAUUGGACAAUGGGCGCAAGCCUGAUCCAGCAAUGCCGCGUGAGUGAUGAAGGCCUUAGGGUCGUAAAACUCUUUUACCCGGGAUGAUAAUGACAGUACCGGGAGAAUAAGCUUCGGCUAACUCCGUGCCAGCCGCCGCCGUAA